rnacentral:lncRNA from 1 species
GUUUUGGUGACUUCAGAAGGAGGGGGGGUUGCUUUGGGGGAUUCUACCACGUGGAAAAAGGAAAACAAGGAAGGCACCUAUCUUUCACUCCCAGGAAACCUUUGCAAAAGGGACAAAAAUAAGUUUGGACACAGGCUUCAUUACCUUCCGUGGGAAGUAUAAAUCAGGGCUACAAUAGACAUAAUAUUUUCCAAAUCUGCCUGCAUUUAUUUGGCAGGAAAAGAAUGUCUCAUGCGUGACCCAGCCUUCCAGGAGCUUACAUUUGCCUCCUCUUGCAGCUGCAGAUUUACAUGCAAUAUGCUAAGAUGGAAAUAAUGCUUUAAAAAAGAAAACACACAAUCAUUUUGCGGAAGACUUGAGAAAAACGUUUUCAGCUUAAAGAGAAAAAAGCAGUGAGACCCCUUCGGCGUCUGUGCAAAACUGUUUGCUUGGCUCUGGAGGUGAUAAAAAUAAUUUAUGAAGCUCUACAUUUUUAGCAAGAGGAAAUGACCUCAGCUUUUGGCAAUCUGAUGCAGUUAGUGAAGCCUCUCUCUACUACUUUUAUGGAUUUCCUUGAGCUGCAUAUUCUGUGACCUGUAUUUCAGAUUUAUUGGCAGAUACAUAAGCCACAUUAAGUAACAUAAAAUGCAGUGAAUGCAUCAAACAACUCAGCGGGGACCGACUGACAGCGGGCGAGAGGCUGCCUCUUCGAAGAAGUCAUUCCGAAUCUGAUACCUGUUUAUGCAUUUGUCUAACCAGGCUCUGGAUUUUUAUUUUAAAUAAAGACAUUAUUUCAAAACAAAA